rnacentral:rRNA from 1 species
CCUAAGGUAGCGAAAUUCCUUGUCGGGUAAGUUCCGACCCGCACGAAAGGCGUAACGAUUUGGGCACUGUCUCAACAACAGACUCGGUGAAAUUGUAAUUCCGGUGAAGAUGCCGGAUACCUGCGACAGGACGGAAAGACCCCAUGGAGCUUUACUGUAGCUUGACAUUGGGUCUUGGUACUACAUGUACAGGAUAGGUGGGAGGCUUUGAACCCAGGACGCCAGUUUUGGCGGAGCCAUCCUUGGGAUACCACCCUUGUAGUACUGGGACUCUAACCAUAG